UAGCAUAUGGUUUUCAGAAACAGACAAGAAGAAGCUCCUGCAUAAAAACAAGGCCAGCAGAGGUGAAGAGAGAUGGAAGUUUAGGCAGUUUGGCUAUGAGGAGGCCAAGGGGCCCCGGGAUGUUUGCAGCCAACUCCAUCGCCUUUGCUGCCAGUGGCUGAGGCUGGAGCAACACACAAAGGCUCAGAUGCUGGACCUGGUGGUUCUGGAGCAAUUCCUGACCAUCCUUCCCCUGGAGAUGCAGAACUGGGUCUGGGAAUGUGGGCUGGAGAGCAGCUCCCAGGCAGUGGCCCUGGCCGAAGGCUUCCUCCUGAGCAAGAUGGAGGACAUGAAGCAGGAGGAAGACCAGGAAUCCUCAGAGCCUUUGCAAGCAGAGGUGCGGANGGAAGAGGUUGGUGAUCUCUCUGAGGCAGAGAAGGCUCCACCGGAUAAAGAAGUUGCCUUCUUAGGUAAGGAUUAAGGGGCAUAAGAAGCACAUUUCAGCCUCCUUUCAAGUGCAGAAACUCCUUCCAUGUUNNUCUUGAACUUGUAAUGNAGAAAAUGUCCAUUUGNCUUUUGAAAAUAUCUUCCACNUCCCACNGAUUCUAUAACAGCAUCUACCCAGANGCUCAAAGAUUCAUCUUCCUCUCUUUCACAGGUCAUGAAAAGAGCCUGGUGUUUCCUUCCAGGGUUCCUCCAUUUUGUGAUGGNUCAGAAAUGAUUGCUGGGCAGCCACUGGUUCAGGUAGGAGAAGAAUAAUUGCAAAUGGAGGAAGAACCUGGCUGGCUGGGGGUCUCUCUGACUCCUGUGCAUUUCCCUGGGUCUCAGUUUUGGGACUCUUCCUCAAUGAUAAUGACAUUGCCCCCUCCAAAGCAUCUAAGCAGUUUUGCCUCUUGCAGACAAAUCUCUAACCUCUUAUUCCUUUCAGCUCUCUUUGACUUUCAAGGACUUUCCUUGAACAGGGGGUUGACUUUCCUGCAUUGAGCAGGGGAUUGGACUCGAUGACCCAGGAGGUCCCUUCCAACUCUAUGAUUCUAUGAUUCUAAGUGGCCGUGCAUUUCACAGCAGAGGAGCGGGCUUUGCUGGAUCCGGCCCACAGGGCUUUGCACAGAGAAGUCAUGGAAGAGAAUUACCGAAAUCUGGCCUCUCUUGGUAAGAAUCUCUCAUGGAGUAGAUUAAUGAUUAAGUUGGAAAUAGAAAUAGUUGCUAUAAAUGGUC
rnacentral:lncRNA from 1 species